CCUACGGGCGGCAGCAGUGGGGAAUAUUGCACAAUGGGCGCAAGCCUGAUGCAGCCAUGCCGCGUGUAUGAAGAAGGCCUUCGGGUUGUAAAGUACUUUCAUCGGGGACGAAGGAAGUAAAGUUAACACCUUUACUCAUUGACGUUACCCGCAGAAGAAGCACCGGCUAACUCCGUGCCAGCAGCCGCGGUAAUACGGAGGGUGCAAGCGUUAAUCGGAGUUACUGGGGGUAAAGCGCACGCUGGCGGUUGGUGAAGUCAGAUGUGAAAUCCCUGGGCUCAACCUUGGAACUGCAUCUGAUACUGGCAAGCUUGAGUCUCGUAGAGGGGGGUAGAAUUCCAGGUGUAGCGGUGAAAUGCGUAGAGAUCUGGAGGAAUACCAGUGGCGAAGGCGG
rnacentral:rRNA from 1 species